rnacentral:rRNA from 1 species
GACGAACGCUGGCGGCGUGCCUAAUACAUGCAAGUCGAACGCACUCUCGUUUAGAUUGAAGGAGCUUGCUCCUAAUUGAUAAACAUUUGAGUGAGUGGCGGACGGGUGAGUAACACGUGGGUAACCUGCCCUAAAGUGGGGGAUAACAUUUGGAAACAGAUGCUAAUACCGCAUAAAACCUAACACCGCAUGGUGUAGGGUUGAAAGAUGGUUUCGGCUAUCACUUUAGGAUGGACCCGCGGUGCAUUAGUUAGUUGGUGAGGUAAAGGCUCACCAAGACCGUGAUGCAUAGCCGACCUGAGAGGGUAAUCGGCCACACUGGGACUGAGACACGGCCCAGA